GCCAAUGUGUUGCAGUGGUUGAGUAUUGGCCUGUGACUCUGAAGACCAGGGUUCAAAACCCUGCUUGGCCA